AAGCUGUGAUGUGGGCACUUCCUCAAUAAGUCCUUGAAUCUCUCCCAAGCUUCAUACAAACUCUCUCGAUCAUGGUGUGCAAAUGUCAUUAUCUCAUUGCGGAGCUU
rfam:Jatropha curcas cultivar GZQX0401 scaffold102_27, whole genome shotgun sequence.